rnacentral:lncRNA from 1 species
CCUCAAUAGACAUGGUGUCACUUAAUGCGAAUAAUCCAGAUAAAGAAGUGAAAAAGACAAGAUGGCCUGAGGGCAUUUAAGAAAUAUUUUAACAAAGAAAAUUUACUUAUCCAAUGAAAUGGUAUGAGCAAAAAUUCAUAUCUUAAUUUUGUCUACUUUUGACCAGUUCAAACCAGCUUGACCAGUGAAGUGUAAACAUUUUCAAAUAAUUAUUAUAAGGAUUAUAUAG